GACGAACGCUGGCGGCGUGCUUAACACAUGCAAGUCGAACGGAAAGGCCCUGCUUUGGUGGGGUGCUCGAGUGGCGAACGGGUGAGUAACACGUGAGUAACCUGCCCUUGACUUUGGGAUAACUUCAGGCAACUGGGGCUAAUACCGCAUAGGAGCUCCUGCUGCAUGGUGGGGGUGGGAAAGUUUCGGCGGUUGGGGAUGGACUCGCGGCUUAUCAGCUUGUUGGUGGGGUAGUGGCUUACCAAGGCUUUGACGGGUAGCCGGGCUGAGAGGGUGACCGGCCACAUUGGGACUGAGAUACGGCCCAGACUCGUACGGGACGCAGCAGUGGAGAAUAUUGCACAAUGGGCGGAAGCCUGAUGCAGCAACGCCGCGUGCGGGAUGACGGCCUUCGGGUUGUAAACCGAUUUCGCCUGUGCCGAAGCGUGAGUGACGGUAAUGGGUAAAGAAGCACCGGCUAACUACGUG
rnacentral:rRNA from 1 species